GGGUAGUGGACGGGUCAAACUAACAUUCAUUUACAGGUGAUGUUAUGUCACCGACUGACCAUCCCUUACAUCUGUAGUGUCUGUCACGUUUCAAGGGUAUUCAAGCUUAUUUCUACCCUAACCAUUAUCUUUGACUAUACUGUACUACGUUGUUUCACAACGUUGACCACUUGCCCAAAUAUUCAGCGUCUGGACGCUCCUCAAGAGGCAUCUUGCGGUGACGUUGGGGCCCCGGCCCAGGUGGCAGAAUGUGACAAGUAGGCGUCAGAGCAUGUGGCAACGAUAGUUACUCGUACUUUGUUGCUCCAUUAAAGGCAUUGACCAAGCGGUGGCGGAUGAACCGUUGGACGAUUUGUAAGCGCCUCAAUGCACGAUGUGUCUGGGGUUGAUAAUGGUUGCCUUGCCCAGCUAGUUGGUCAAGAUUUAGUCGGUUAAAGAGGCUUGCUUUUCAGUUCUAUCAACGAUCAGGAUGUCGCACCCCCCCCCCCCCCCAAGCUCCCAAUGAGGACUCUGAAGCGAACUGUGCCUGGGGCUUACGAGACAGCAGGCGGAUACUCAGAAGAACUGUACAUGAUGUCCAAAAAGAGACUCUUUCUUUCCGAGCUCAUACUGCCGAGUCUUUGUGUUCGGAUACCGGGGUGUUUUGUAUCUGAGCGAAGCUUCAAACUGUCCCUGUGACUGCCGCUUUUGAUUCUUCCCCGCACUCUCCCAUGUGCUGUUCCCCGCUCCCGUUGUCAAAUAUUCUGAGUCACUUCAGACACAAGCCGCUUGUUGUUUUUUCACGACAGGGCGGGAGACGGCAGCAGCCGGUUCGUGUCCUGUUAUCCGUGACACAGGACCGUCGCAGCACCCUGACACUGCUUUGGACACGGCCGGUCCGGCUGGCCAUGGGAAGACAGCUUGUCUCCUGUCCGCACAAAAGCGGGCUUUGUACAAAAAAAACAUGGAUCAGCUAAGAGGAACCUAUGGUCGUGAAUCGGCUCCUGUGUCCACUACAUAAGGGAUUGAUUCAACAUGGGUAUUAUUCCAUCAGGGCCUUUGACAGUGUGGACGACCCCUGGCUGUGUUGUGGUGCUGGAACACAGUUGUUCCGAUUGAGAGGGGAAUACCGCUCGGUUUGUACUGCAAAGAGCGUCGGGUCUAAAUAUAUCUCUUAUAUCUGAAGGGAGCUCUGGCUUGAGUGUUGUUGCCUGUCUUUAGCGUGUCGCACCGCUAUAUUCCACUGCACAUACAGUCAGCGUGGUUACAUGGAUUCGAAUAACUGGCUUAGUCGGACUGAAAUCGAAUGAUCCGUUUCAUGUAAACACCUUUGUCCGACUGUGUGCGGUCCGACAACGGUCCGACUAACACCCCUGGAUAACUCCAUCCGAUCCAGUUGAUAGUUCGACUAUUGCGGCAUGUAACGGUGAAUCGGAUAAGGAACUGGACUUCGCGUCUUUGCGCAUGCUUGAGAUCCCGACGCCGUCUUCUCUCCGUUAUCAAAUCAGCCGAUAGCGCCAUUCGCAUUCGCUGUGCUCCUAUUAGCAUCAUGCACACACAGUAGAGGGAUGUAGCUUCACCUUGCUCUCCGCUCGCCAUCUUUCCCGUAAUGUUGAUGUUGUUGAAAUGGCUGUAUCACAACUAGUUGUAAUGAAAACAGCGCCACCUAUCGUAUCGGAUAUGACAUGCUUUCGGCCAAUGAUUCGAUUUAUUCACUGCCAUGUAUAUUGGGAUAAUAGCACUUGCCCCAAAAGAGAGCAUAGUCCGACUAAGCAAAUAUUUGAAUUAUACCAUCAUGUAAACACACUGAGUGGUGGGGCAAACAAAUAACAGCAAUACCACAUUAAAAAGCGCUUUAACUUUGAAUUACACUACAACUACAAAGUGACAGAUGAUUAACCGGACGUGUCUGCAGGGAGAUAUCUGUCUGUAAUUACUUGUUUCAAAGUGCAGUGUCAGCAUGCAGAUUUUGUGUGUGAAGUUUAUACUGAAAAACAUCCAUCAAACUCGCUCGUCAUACGUAGGUGCUUGAUUCAUUUUAUUUGCAUAGUGGUUCUCGAAGUGUUUAAAACGACUAACCGUUCUUCCA
ensembl:lncRNA